GUGAGUGGGCAGGUGUGGGUGUGGGCAUCUGUGAGUGUGGGCAGGCGUGUGUGAUGGGCAGGUGUGCGUAAGUGUGGAUAGGUGUGUGGAUGAGUGUGGGCAGGUGUGCGAGCAUGGGCAGGUGUGAGCAUGGGUAGUUGUGUGUCAGCAUGGGCAGGUGUGUGUGGGGCAGGUGUGUGAGCACGGGUGUGAGUGUGGGCAUGUGUGAGCAUGGGCAUGUGUGGGUGUGAGUGGGCAGGUGUGUCUGAGUAUGGGCAGGUGUGUGAAGGCAGGUGUGAGCGUGGGCAGGUGUGUGGGUGUGAGCAUGGGCGGGUGUGUGAGCGUGGGCAGGUGUGUGGGUGUGUGAGCAUGGGCGGGUGUGGGAGCACGGGCAGGUGUGUGUGAACGUAGCCAUGUAAGUGGGCAGGUGUGUGUGUGAGCGUGGGCGUGUGUAAGUGGGCAGGUGUGUGUGUGGGCAGGUGUGUGUAAGUGGGCAGGUGUGUGUUUGAGCGUGGGCAUGUAAGUGGGCAGGUUGUGUGAGCGUGGGCGUGUGUAAGUGGGCAGGUGUGCGUGAGUGUGGGCAUGUGUGUAAGUGGGCAGGUGUGUGAGCGUGGGCAUGUGUGUAAGUGGGCAGGUGUGUGUGUGAGCGUGGGCAUGUGUAAGUGGGCAGGUGUGUGUGAGCGUGGGCAUGUAUGUAAGUGGGCAGGUGUGUGAGCGUGGGCAUGUGUGUAAGUGGGCAGGUGUGUGAGCGUGGGCAUGUAAGUGGGCAGGUGUGUGAGCGUGGGCGUGUGUAAGUGGGCAGGUGUGAGUGUGGGCAUGUGUGUAAG
rnacentral:lncRNA from 1 species